CAAUGCGCGAAAGCGUGACGCAGCAACGCCGCGUGGGGAAGAAGGCCUUCGGGUUGUAAACCCCUUUCAGUUGGGACGAAGCUUCCAGUGUUAAUAGCGCUGUGGAGUGACGGUACCUUCAGAAGAAGCCCCGGCUAACUACGUGCCAGCAGCCGCGGUAAUACGUAGGGGGCAAGCGUUGUCCGGAAUCAUUGGGCGUAAAGCGCGUGUAGGCGGUCCGGUAAGUCCGCUGUGAAAGUCGGGGGCUCAACCCUCGGAUGCCGGUGGAUACUGUCGGGCUUGAGUACGGAAGAGGCGAGUGGAAUUCCUGGUGUAGCGGUGAAAUGCGCAGAUAUCAGGAGGAACACCAAUUGCGAAGGCAGCUCGCUGGGACGUUACUGACGCUGAGACGCGAAAGCGUGGGGAGCAAACAGGAUUAGAUACCCUGGUAGUCCACGCUGUAAACGAUGGGCACUAGGUGUGGGGGGUGUCGACUCCCUCCGUGCCGAAGCUAACGCAUUAAGUGCCCCGCCUGGGGAGUAC
rnacentral:rRNA from 1 species